GCGUUUUUAAGGUGGAACGGAUAGCGUCAAUAAGAAGCUGCGAAUAAGAAGCUGAAUUCAGCCUCGUGCUUUUCUGAGAGAUUAAC